rnacentral:misc_RNA from 1 species
GUGUGAAGAGCGCAACCGGAGAGAUAUUGUUUUCAAGAUUCAUCCCUCAUAGUGAUGAGAAAGGUUUCAAUCAAGGACUUCACAGUUCACAAACAAGUUUUUCCAAGAAUGCAUUUGCUUCUGAUGUUACGUCGAUGCAUGCACCUUCUUUUGAGUUUUCUGUCUCAUCAGAAGAUGGAAUCAACCUUUAUAUUGACUUGAAUUCAUGCCCAACAGACACUUUUAAAAGAUUGGAAAAGAAGGUGUGUGUAUGUCACAAUCU